GACGAACGCUGGCGGCGUGCUUAACACAUGCAAGUCGAACGGAAAGGCCCUGCUUUUGUGGGGUGCUCGAGUGGCGAACGGGUGAGUAACACGUGAGUAACCUGCCCUUGACUUUGGGAUAACUUCAGGAAACUGGGGCUAAUACCGGAUAGGAGCUCCUGCUGCAUGGGGGGGGAAGGAAAGUUUCGGCGGUUGGGGAUGGACUCGCGGCUUAUCAGCUUGUUGGUGGGGUAGUGGCUUACCAAGGCUUUGACGGGUAGCCGGCCUGAGAGGGUGACCGGCCACAUUGGGACUGAGAUACGGCCCAGACUCCUACGGGAGGCAGCAGUGGGGAAUAUUGCACAAUGGGCGGAAGCCUGAUGCAGCAACGCCGCGUGCGGGAUGACGGCCUUCGGGUUGUAAACCGCUUUCGCCUGUGACGAAGCGUGAGUGACGGUAAUGGGUAAAGAAGCACCGGCUAACUACGUG
rnacentral:rRNA from 1 species